rnacentral:tRNA from 1 species
ACUUAGAUAGUUUAAAGUUAAAACGAUGAUUUGUGGUGUCAUAAAUAUAUUAUAAAUAUAUUCUAAGUU